AUGUUGACAAAACAAUAAAAACAGGAAAAUACACAUUUGUGGUCCAUUUAUCCAAACAAACAAGCAUCUGUGUAACGUGUAUUAUUAUUAUUUCUUUUUUCAAUUAUUAUUAUUCAAAGUUGCUGUUGUUGAUAAUUUUUUUUGUUAUAUACAUGUGUGAGAGAGAGAGAAAGAGAAGAAUCUCGAUUAAGAUUAUCAAGCUUAGACAUUUUUCCUGUCUCUUAGCUUUUCUUCUUGUUAAUGUUUAAUUUGCCCUCUCCUAAAAACUCAAAAAUCUUGGAAAAAACCUUCAAAAAGGGUCAUUUCUCUUCUCAUUCUUUUUUUUUUCAAUUAUCGUGUCCAUGUACGAUUUACAUGGAUCUAUAUCUAUGCUGGUUUUUAGAGGCUGAAGCUGCCAGCAUGAUCUGGUAAUUGCUACAUACGACAUACACACAUAUACUAGUUAAUUUCCACACCUAUAAAAGUUUUUUUCCUACAACUUAAAGCUUUUUUCCUUCCUCUUUUUAAUAAUUAGUGAUCUCUAGUUCUUUGCCUACUUGUAAUAUAUAUUUACGGUGGAUUCAUGCAUGUGUGUAUAUAUAUACAUAGUUUACAUGCAUGCAUUUUGUGUAUGUGUGUGUGUAUAGAUAGUAGUACUAGGUCAUCCUGCAGCUUCAGUCACUAAAUCACCAACAAUAUCAAAUCAAGAUAAACUAAAUUUUCAUGAGAAAGGCGUUUCCGCGUUAACUUUUACGAUUCCCUCUAUCACAAUUCGAGAUUGUUAUUCAUAAUGUUUGAGCAAGGAAAAACCAACGUCUACACUUUUUCAUCUUUAAUUGAAUACGGCUCAAGCCUUCUUUAAUAAAGAUUGUACCAUAUAUGAAGCCAUUAACCAAUGAUCGACAUUGAGAUUCUCUGCGUUGAUCAGCAACUCCAGUUUAUUUUGAAGAUCUUUAACUUGAAGGACGCAUGAUAGAUUGCACUAAGUUUAUCUUAAUGAUGUAAUUUUAAUUCUUAGUUUUGUUUCUAGUUUCUUUCGAUCAUUUGUAACGAUUAGGGGUUUGCACAAAUAACAAUUGCUAGUUCCAUAGAUAAAUACUUUAAGAACAUUGGUUAAGCGUGGUCAAUUCUUUCCACCUGUAAAGAGAAAAAUGAAAAUGUCAGACCAA